UUAAUUGAAGCCAAAAAGAGGCUUAUCACUGUUAAUGAUAUAAAUGAGUAAUACUCCAAUUAAA
rnacentral:tRNA from 1 species